rnacentral:tRNA from 1 species
GCCGGGGUGGCGGAAUUGGUAGACGCAGCAGACUUAAAAUCUGCCGGUGAGUAAUCACCAUGCCGGUUCGAGCCCGGCCCUCGGCA